rnacentral:rRNA from 1 species
GUGUCAGCAGCCGCGGUAAUACGGAGGGGGCUAGCGUUGUUCGGAAUUACUGGGCGUAAAGGGCGCGCAGGCGGCUGCUCAAGUCAGGCGUGAAAGGCCUGGGCUCAACCCGGGAAUUGCGCUUGAGACUGGGCUGGCUUGAGUGCGGGAGAGGAUGGUGGAAUUCCCAGUGUAGAGGUGAAAUUCGUAGAUAUUGGGAAGAACACCGGUGGCGAAGGCGGCCAUCUGGACCGCAACUGACGCUGAGGCGCGAAAGCGUGGGGAGCAAACAGGAGGAUAUACCAGUGGAUUAC